ACCUUCCCAUCCAUUUUUUAUUCAUUCAUCAUCACCAAUAACAAAACCACUUAUUCGUCAAUCGACGAUCAUUCAUCAUCCAAUCACCAAUCACUCUCUCAUCAAAAGAGGAUCAACAUCUUCAUCAUUCAUCAUCAUUAAUUCAAAAGCUCUCCCUUGUUCUCUCAUUCUCAAUUUUCAUCUUCAUCAAUCACCUGCAUAUUCAACCUGCACUUUCCCUCAACCUUCAACACUCAUAUUCCUCACUCUCCAAUCAACAACAU
rnacentral:lncRNA from 1 species